rnacentral:rRNA from 1 species
CACGUAGGGUGCGAGCGUUGUCCGGAAUUAUUGGGCGUAAAGAGCUCGUAGGCGGUGUGUCACGUCGGCCGUGAAAACCUGCAGCUUAACUGUGGGCGUGCGGGCGAUACGGGCAGACUGGAGUACUGCAGGGGAGACUGGAAUUCCUGGUGUAGCGGUGGAAUGCGCAGAUAUCAGGAGGAACACCGGUGGCGAAGGCGGGUCUCUGGGCAGUAACUGACGCUGAGGAGCGAAAGCGUGGGGAGCGAACAGG